rnacentral:rRNA from 1 species
UGAGGAAUAUUGGACAAUGGGCGCAAGCCUGAUCCAGCCAUGCCGCGUGCAGGAAGAAGCAUCUAUGGUGUGUAAACUGCUUUUGUACGGGAAGAAACACUCCUACGUGUAGGAGCUUGACGGUACCGUAAGAAUAAGGAUCGGCUAACUCCGUGCCAGCAGCCGCGGUAAUACGGAGGAUCCAAGCGUUAUCCGGAAUCAUUGGGUUUAAAGGGUCCGUAGGCGGUUUAGUAAGUCAGUGGUGAAAGCCCAUCGCUCAACGAUGGAACGGCCAUUGAUGCUGCUCGACUAGAAUUAUUAGGAAGUAACUAGAAUAUGUAGUGUAGCGUUGAAAUGCUUAGAUAUUACAUGGAAUACAAAUUACGAAGGCAGGUUAAUACUAAUGGAUUGACGCUGAUGGACGAAAGCGUGAGGAGCGAAC